AGCUAAGUGGGAGGUUUACUAUACAUUACCUUUGCAGGUACUAUCCCCAUGCCAGAAGUUCCCCGGUAUGGCUAGGAAGGCCGCCUCUGUGGUCAUGGUGUUUCCCUUGCCAGGUAAGCAUAGACUACACUUGAGCUGUGCUUUCAAGAGGGAAGUCUACCUGAGGGGAAGUGUUGAAAGCCAGAGACAGAAGUGAAGAGCAGUGAUGGGCGGAGGCCACCAAGCCACCGGGGCAGCACUGCUAGGAGCUGGUGGGCAGCUGCAGCACCAAGACACAUCGCCCCCACGGCACAGAGGGCACCGAGUCUGAAGUAACGGCUAUGACAGCUCUGCCGUCUUAUCCUGCCAACCUAGGGGAGCUCCACCCGGAGCAUGCCUCUCCCGUAGGCUUCUCCAGGGUUACAGACAGAAUUUGGUCUCUGGACUUGGAUCUGGCCAGCAGCAGCACAGCAUAUUUGCCCUCAUCCUGCAUCCCUGAGGCAAUUACACUUUAACCUUCUCAUUUCUCUUCUCUUCUAAACUAAAUUCUUGAUUUGUCCAACUGAAAAGGAUCGGCAGGAUUAGCAACCUGAGCACAGAUGCACAAAGCCUUUCGCCUCCGGGCUGCAGGUCCUGGCUGACUCUGCCUGAUGGGUUUGACCAGACAGUCCUAUCCUCAGUCACUGAAAGAGGAAAAACAACAGUGCAGUAGCCUGGUGCUGUCCUUCCUCUUGGUCAUUUCUUACCCAGAGUGCCUGGGAGCUGCACCAUUUGACAGGUGUCGAGCAGUUAUUUCUGUAACAGCAUCAAUUCCGUUCUUUAUGGAACAAGACUGAACAUUAACUGUUAUCGAUUGUUAUUUCUGAAUCUCUCCAGACAAUGCUGCCAAAAGCCCAGCCACUGAACAUUUAAGGGUUAUAAGACCCUGGUGGGAAAAGCGUGUGCACAAACACAUUUACCGUAUUUACUUCAAUACAAGACAACGUUUUUCCCAAUUUGGCACUGGAAUUGUCUUACAAUUGCAUACAAGGAAAUCUCACUAAAUAUAUUGUCUAUCAUUAAACUGCUGCCAAAAGCAGCAUGUGUUCAGCAAUGGAAAC
rnacentral:lncRNA from 1 species